GACGAACGCUGGCGGCGUGCUUAACACAUGCAAGUCGAACGGAAAGGCCCUGCUUUUGUGGGGUGCUCGAGUGGCGAACGGGUGAGUAACACGUGUGUAACCUGCCCUUGACUUUGGUAUAACUUCAGGAAACUGGGGCUAAUCCCGGAUAGGAGCUCCUGCUGCAUGGUGGGGGUUGGAAAGUUUCGGCGGUUGGGGAUGGACUCGCGGCUUAUCAGCUUGUUGGUGGGGUAGUGGCUUACCAAGGCUUUGACGGGUAGCCGGCCUGAGAGGGUGACCGGCCACAUUGGGACUGAGAUACGGCCCAGACUCCUACGGGAGGCAGCAGUGGGGAAUAUUGCACAAUGGGCGGAAGCCUGAUGCAGCAACGCCGCGUGCGGGAUGACGGCCUUCGGGUUGUAAACCGCUUUCGCCUGUGACGAAGCGUGAGUGACGGUAAUGGGUAAAGAAGCACCGGCUAACUACGUG
rnacentral:rRNA from 1 species